rnacentral:rRNA from 1 species
GACGAACGCUGGCGGCGCGCCUAACACAUGCAAGUCGAACGAGCGAGCGGGAGCUUGCUUUCUCGAGCGAGAGGCGCACGGGUGAGUAACGCGUGAGGAACCUGCCUCAAACAGGGGGAGAACACUUCGAAACGACUGCUAAUACCGCAGAAGACCACGUGGCCCCAUGGCACAGAUGGAAAAGGAGCAAUCCGCUGUGAGAUGGCCACGCAUCCGAUUAGCUAGUUGGUGAGGGAAGGGCCACCCAAGGCGACGAUCGGGAGCCGGACUGAGCGGUUGAGCGGCCACAUUGGAAGUGAGACAGGGCCCAGACUCCUACGGGAGGGAGCGGUGGGGAAUAUUGCAAACGGGGGGAGACUCAGAUGGAGCGGCGGCGCGUAGAGGAAGGAGGUCUUCGGAUUGUAAAUUCCUGUUGUUGGAGAAGAUAAUGACGGUACCCAACAAGGAAGUGACGGCUAACUACGUG